AUACGUAGGUAGCGAGCGUUGUCCGGAAUAACUGGGCGUAAAGCGAGUGUAGGUGGUGAUUUAAGUUAAAUGUGAAAGCCCGGGGCUCAACUCCGGAAUGCCAUUUAAUACUGGAUUGCUAGAGUGCAGGAGAGGUAAGCGGAAUUUCUAGUGUAGCGGUUAAAUGCGUAGAUAUUAGGAAGAACACCAGAGGCGAAGGCGGCUUACUGGCCUGUAACUGACACUGAGACUCGAAAGCGUGGGGAUCAAACAGGAUUAGAUACCCUGGUAGUCCACGCCCUAAACGAUGGAUACUAAACGUGGGUGGUAUCGACUCCAUCCGUGUUGUAGCUAACGCGAUAAGUAUCCCGCCUGGGGAGUACGGCCGCAAGGUUGAA
rnacentral:rRNA from 1 species